GCAGCCCUGCGAUGCUCGUGAUUAGCCGUAAGUUUUGAGCCAACACCAACACAUAGGGAGCCUGGACUCUGGAUGUGGCUUGUAUGCCCCUGUUAAUUGGGGAAACAAAAAGCAUCCAGGAGGGCACCCACCUGUAGAGAACAGGUUCAUAAAACUACGGCGGAUCACGGCAUUUGUGGGGUUGAU
rnacentral:other from 1 species